rnacentral:rRNA from 1 species
AAGUCGUAACAAGGUUUCCGUAGGUGAACCUGCGGAAGGAUCAUUUGUCGAAAAUUGCCAAGCAGAGCGACCCGCGACAUGUUGAAAUAAAUCGUCGGGGGCACGGCGUCUAACGUGGCACGGCGCCCUCGACUGCCGGCCGAGCCCGCACCUAACGGCCUGCUCCAGGAGCGGCAACGGGGGUGCGGGGCAAGGCUUGGCACAAGAACGAACCCCGGCGGGGAUCGCGCCAAGGAACGGUAACAUAGCGUGCGCUGCCUUGCCGCCGGAUGCCCGGCGAGCGAGGUGGCGACCUGUCGUAUCUGAACGACUCUCGGCAACGGAUAUCUCGGCUCUCGCGUCGAUGAAGAACGUAGCGAAAUGCGAUACUUGGUGUGAAUUGCAGAAUCCCGUGAACCAUCGAGUCUUUGAACGCAAGUUGCGCCCGAAGCCUCUAGGCUGAGGGCACGUCUGCCUGGGCGUCACGCAUAGCGUCGCCCCCGACCAAGCCACGGCGUCUCUGCAUGCUAGGUUGGGGCGGAGAGUGGCCUCCCGUGCGCCGUUGUGCGGCUGGCCUAAAAUUGGAGCUCGGCGACUGCGCCACGGCGUCCGGUGGUCGGCAAGGCGAAGGCAAAGGUUGCAUCGCGUCGUGCUCGGCACGUCGCCCGUGAAGCUCGCACG